CUUUUGAUCGUUUGUCUUCAUCCUGUACAGGUGCAACAGCAUUCGCCAAAUUCGCAAAACAACGAAAGUAGUGCUGGAAUUGAUGGCCAAAAAGAAAAACGAAUGUCACUUCUGCAGGUUAGUACAAGCGUACAACACUUGUGAGAAUGACGAAAUAAAAGAUGAAAUCGACAUCAUCGUCAACACUUACGAAAAUGUCCGCGUGUCGGGCAAGAGCGCGGCGCACUACCGAGUGCUUGUCCCACUUACAUCCGAAAGCCACCCGAGCAGACGCGUUACACUAGAGAUCCGGGUGGUACCUGGCUAUCCGUAUGUGGCACCGGCCAUCAAUCUUUUGUUUCCACCGGGUGUGCAACCCGGGUGUGAGGGUACGCUGUCAGAGUACGAGGUGAAGCAGAUGGCCAAGGAGGUGCUGAACAACAUUCAGCCGUGUCUCCCUAGUGGUAUGCCGUGCAUGAUGCAAAUCGUCUCCACUGUGGCCGCCAUUGUAGAGUGCAGCAUUGAUCCACCGUCGCAGCAGCAGAACGGAAAGGCGCAGGGUGAGCCAAAAGUGCUUAGCGCGGGCCAGUCGUCAUCACUGACGCCAGUUCCGCUGAAGGCGAAGGAAGCGUUGAAGCUCAGCCUGUUUGCGUUUCACCUUCUAAAGAAGUGCUGUCACAUGAAGAACCCGGAGUCGAACGAGGAGGCCGCCAGCAACUUCGACUGGCUUGUUAAGUAUCUGCUGGACAGCGUCAGCAUUUUCCCGGAAGCGGCGCGUAGUUUUUUUCCGUGGAAUGGAAUUUCGUUUUCGCGUGCCUUUGCCGCGAACAUUGAGAGCGCCCUGGCCCUCCCUCCAGAUCAGCAGGGCCUGCCAAAAUGGCUUUGGGAGGAUGAAGGACGCAACCUUCGCAUCCAGCAGGGCUCGGAGGGUCGCUACCGGAACGAGUUCAUUCAGCAGCGUCUUCUAGGGACCGGCGGUUUUGCUCCUGUGUACGUCUGUCGGAAGAAGAUCGAUGGCCGCUUGUACGCGAUUAAGAAGAUUGCAAUGACAGAGGCGCAAUCUGAGAAGGUUCUGCGAGAGGUGCAGACUCUCGCUGCACUGAAUCACAAGAACAUUGUUCGCUACUACGAUGCGUGGGUCGAGGACGGGUGCGAUGAGGACUUGCGUGAGUUCGUUGACACUGACGCGGAGGAUGAGGAAGAUGAGAAGAUGAAGCACGGCGGGAAAAUGCUAUCACCCCAAUCGCGUGCCGUUGCCCGCGCUUCGUUGUCCUCGGAUACUGACUGUACCUCUUCCCUCUACUCGUCAUCAGUGGAAAAGAGCAGCAGCGCGGACACAAGCGAGGAGGACCACGAAUCCGGCGAAUCCUGCAGCGAUAGCGGUGACGCUCGAAGUGAUGUUAAAAUGCACGAACCAAAGGGGAGGCGGCCGUCCAUGAAUUUCCAGACGCUUUACAUUCAAAUGGAGCUGUGCUCUGCCCGAUCACUUCGCCAUUUGAUUGAUGAAAGCGACUCCAGCGACUCUGGUGGCAUCUUUUCUUCUGCCAACGGAGAAAAGGUCGCCGUGUCCAUUCUCCGCCAGCUCCUCUCCGUCACAGCUCACACGCAUCGCGAGCGCAUUGUUCAUCGGGAUCUGAAGCCUGAAAAUGUGCUGUUUGAAAUGGAGUCAAACCACAACAGUGAAGCUGGAACCAUCCGCGUUGCAGACUUUGGCCUGGCGCGCGUGAUGAGCGGCGUAAAGCGUAUCACGAGCGUUCUAGACGUGGAUGAGGUGAAUACGCCGACAAAUUUGGUCUCAGCAAACUAUCCCACAGGCAACUGCGGCUCGGUGCUGUACUGCGCGCCAGAGCAGGAGAAGGGUCUCGAGUACGAUUACAAGGUUGACGAGUUUAGCAUCGGUAUGAUCGCGUUUGAAAUGUGGCUUGCCAUCGCCGGAAAAGGCUUUCGCGAGCGUUUUACUAUUAUGGGCGAAGUCUGGCGCACUGGCAAGCUUCCGCAGUGGUUUGCCCGGUGGAACCCGACGAUGGCCGAUAUUAUCGAGAAGCUGCUGGAGCCUGACCCACGUCGACGCACCACCUGCGAGGCUGUGCUGAGCACGGCUGAGCUUCCAGGUGAUCCGGCUGAUCUCACAAGUGCGCUGGAUACAGUGGACAGGUAUGGCGAGAGAAUAGCUGGACGCAUCAUCCAAAAAAUCCAACGAAUCGGAUCUGAGUUCCGCAAGCCGUCGAGGGCAUUCCGCGACGACGCUCAAUUUGUGGGAUCGUCGCAGUGCACUGAUGUGGUGCAAGCGGUUCAGGUGAUCGGCAUGCUGCACGGCGCCGUCCCGGUGGCGCUCUUUGACCCGACUGUGGCAAUGAACCCUAAGCUGGCUGAGAUGAAUGUAGACUGUGUGGUGGACAGCAGCGGCCGCAGCUUUGCCUACUCUGCCCUUCCAUACUUUGCGACAGCGUCGUUUCUCGGCAUGCAGGAGAAUAGCGCCAUCGGCUCCUUUUAUCAGUUUUACCAUCGCGCUCGAUCCUACGUCAUAUUCACCACGCCACUGCCCCACCACGGUGUAUUCAACGAGUGUGUGCUGGAGCCGUUGCUGUCGCUAUGUCAUCUGCUUGCGUUUACAGAGACGACGGAGCCGAUGGAGGUGAUUGUGUCGCACGUCGACUGGCUAAAGACAGUGUUUCCCGCCGAGAUCGGAACGCGGUCGCCGCCACCUGCGCUGUGUCAUCUGCGCAGCGAGAUCCUCACAGCAGACCAGGUCGGGCAUGCGAUCUCAAGUAUCACAGAGAGUCUGUGCGCUGCCGGACUGCUGCUGUGCGACGAGCGUGACGAGUACAUCAAAAAGUUCACAAUGGCAGUUGUCGACGUCAUAAACACGUUUGCGAAGCACAUGAAUACGCACCUUACUCUAGUUAUGGACCCGGCACUGCAGCCCAGCGACUUGCUCGUUGCGCGAAAAGCCCUGGAGACGGGCAUCAUUUUCGAGUGUCGCUCUACGCGCGGGGCGGUACCGCUGGCCUUUGGCUGCUUUCUGGACAACUUCACAACCAACUGCACCGUUGUGAACCCCGACAUUUCUGCGUUCUCCGUAGUGGUGGACGUGCAGCAUCUCCUCAACGUGGGCAAGCACGUACACGUGACUUGGCGUGAGAAUCUUCUGUUGGAUGGUGUCGCCGCAAAGCGACACGAUUUAUACUCGCUCACGCAACUCCCUCACGUCGUGGAGGCGGCGAUUCAGCUGUGGAAGGGAAAUAUCCGGGCGUGCAUCCGCGCCGACACGGACGCUCGCGCACUGGCGCGGGCCCUGAAGGCGAAGCAGAUCAGGUGGUUGCUCGUGGAUGGAAAGCGGAUUGUAGCGGUGUCAACGAAUCAGCAGGGUAAAGUAAGCGGGCACGGUGGCGACAUCGCGCUCGACGAUCUGCGACAAACUGUCCGCAGCCUUUCCGUAAAGGAGAAGUCGACAAGCAGUGCGAACAUAGACGUUCAGUUCCUUUCGGGAAAGGUUGAGACCCGCACAGCUGAUAAGAUUGUAGAGCUGUUCUCCACAAUGAUGACACCGCCUCCGUCCACAGUGGUGGUGGUAAACACUGACGUGAAGCGCAUUCACGAGUGUCUGGAACAGUUCAACGAGUCGGCGCCGGACUCGCCACCCGAGACCCUUGCAGAGCCCACGCUGGCCAGGUGGAUGAAGGCUAACGCUGCGGCGUCGAGUGUGGUGCCCGUCUACUCCCUGACCGAGGGAAAGAUAGUCUUUUUUGUUAACUACAAACGAUUCAAGGUCUCUGGAAAAAAGAAAUAAACCCCACAAGAAAAAUAAGCAGGACAGUACAACAGGUCAUUCCAGCUUCGCUGCCUCUGAAUAAGGGAGCAGUCGUAGCAUGUCGGGUUGAUUGUUUCUUCACUUUGGUUCCGUGCGCUUCUUCUGCUCAGCUUGCACACUACUUAUUUCGAUUUCGAUUUUUUUUUCUGUGCAGCGAGACAUGAGCGCACCGGUGUGAUGAGGGCCGCGUCGAUGUCUUAUGAGUGUAUGGGUAUUUGUCUAUUGGGAACUGCUGUUUUCCUCUUACCGUUGCGGAAAACAACUGCCAACUGCUCUUUUUUUUCCUUGCUUGUAACACCAGUUUUCUUAUCCUUUCAUACCACCGCCUGCUGAAGAACUUGCUUUACGGAUUUAAUUUUUUCGUUUUGCUGCAUCCAUGUACUCCCCUGAUGACAGGGACACACCUCGGCGCGCCGCAUCAGGGCUCAGUGGCCCCACUCUGUGAAGGGGACAAGCAGGCCCCUUCCCCCCUAUGCCUGCCAAUGCCGGUCCACCUCCGGUGGCGGCAGGGUCAAGCGCCCGCGACGCAGCGAAGUGAGAGCGAUGUAUUGCUGCUGGUGUAUGGGCGGUCAGGUCCUGGAUGGCGCUGCUUUGCCCGACGCGAUGGGGGCCUGUGUGAGCGGCCGGGGUCACGUGGCGUUCAGCUCACGUUGUAUGGUGGUAUGGACAUGCUGAUGAAAAAAGAAAGUGUGCAAUCACGUGUUUAUCGUAUUAGUGCUAAAGCGAUAUGGAAUGAACGAGAGAUAGGUAGCGCUAUGCAU
rnacentral:misc_RNA from 1 species